rnacentral:lncRNA from 12 species
UUUUCUUCUAAGUGUUCACUCCUUUCUUCUCCUUUUUUGUAGUCUUUCCUCUUUCAUUUCCCAUUAAAUAGUUUUUCUGUGUCUCGCUCCAUCCCCCAUUUUUAUCUUGUGCAGCUUUUACAGUCUACAAGCCUGCAAGUUCUUGUAAUUGCAAUUUCUGGGGGAGCUGUGUGGUUUCCUCUUCUUUUGGAUGUUGAUUGCCUUUUGGGUCAAAUGUUGACACAGCUUGUGCUUCCAGGAUGAGGAAUAGCAGGAACAUGAGAGGCUUUUCCUGGGAAUGCAUCCAAGGAGUGCUGGUGGAGGCUCUCUAGUUAAUCACUUGGUCAGAAGGAGUGCUUUUUCCAGUGUGCAGCAUUAUUCACUUAACUUUUCAUUAGGCCUUUUCAUGGCAAGAACUUCUGUGGAAAGUUGGAGGAAGAAGUUGAUCCCACAGUACAACAAGUUUGGCACAUCCCCAUGGCCUUGAGAUGGUGUUUUGCCUGGAAUGUCUGAAGGCACCUAAAGGGAAGUGUUUCUGAGUCAGCAAAGGAAACCAACACAUUUUCCUGCAUCCAGGAGGGAAGGCUCAGGAGAAAGGCAAACCACUGAUGAGCCAGUAACAGUAAACAGAAAGGAGGAAGAGCAAAGUGGAGCAGCUUGGAAGGAAAGCACAGGUGGACACCAGGAGGAAGAGCUGUGCACUCUUACUCUGGCAAUGGGGUAAGAAAACUUGGAGCAAGCACACACAGCAA